CCUACGGGUGGCAGCAGUGAGGAAUAUUAGUCAAUGGGCGGAAGUCUGAACCAGCCAAGCAGCGUGAAGGAAGACGGCCCUAUGAGUUGUAAACUGCUUUUGUAAAAGGGUAAACCUGAAUACGUGUAUUUAGUUGUAUGUACUGUAUGAAUAAGGAUAGGCUAACUCCGUGCCAGCAGCCGCGGUAAUACGGAGGAUCCGAGCGUUAUCCGGAUUUAUUGGGUUUAAAGGGAGCGUAGGUGGAUUGUUAAGUUAGAGGUGAAAUGUCGCGGCUCAACUCGGGAAUUGCCUUUGAUACUGUAGACCUAGAGAGUAGAUGCGGUAGGCGGAAUGUAUGGUGUAGCGGUGAAAUGCUUAGAGAUCAUGCAGAACACCGAUUGCGAAGGCAGCUUACUAAUCUGUAUCUGACGUUGAUGCACGAAAGCGUGGGUAGCAAACAGGAUUAGAUACCCCUGUAGUC
rnacentral:rRNA from 1 species